rnacentral:rRNA from 1 species
UACAGAGGUCUCAAGCGUUGUUCGGAUUCAUUGGGCGUAAAGGGUGCGUAGGCGGCGGGGCAAGUCAGGUGUGAAAUCCCGGAGCUCAACUCCGGAACUGCACUUGAUACUGCCUCGCUAGAGUACUGGAGAGGAGACUGGAAUUUACGGUGUAGCAGUGAAAUGCGUAGAGAUCGUAAGGAGGACCAGUGGCGAAGGCGAGUCUCUGGACAGUUACUGACGCUGAGGCACGAAGGCCAGGGGAGCAAACGGG